GUAGGUGGCAAGCGUUGUCCGGAAUUAUUGGGGCGUAAAGCGCGCGCAGGCGGUUCUUUAAGUCUGAUGUGAGAGCCCACGGGCUCAACCGUGGAGGGUCAUUGGAAACUGGGGAACUUGAGUACAGAAGAGGAAAGCGGAAUUCCACGUGUAGCGGUGAAAUGCGUAGAGAUGUGGAGGAACACCAGUGGCGAAGGCGGCUUUCUGGUCUGUAACUGACGCUGAGGCGCGAAAGCGUGGGGAGCAAACAGGAUUAGAUACCCUGGUAGUCCACGCCGUAAACGAUGAGUGCUAAGUGUUAGGGGGUUUCCGCCCCUUAGUGCUGCAGCUAACGCAUUAAGCACUCCGCCUGGGGAGUACGGCCGCAAAGGCUGA
rnacentral:rRNA from 1 species